rnacentral:rRNA from 1 species
ACUAAGCGUACACGGUGGAUGCCCUGGCAGUCAGAGGCGAUGAAGGACGUGCUAAUCUGCGAUAAGCGUCGGUAAGGUGAUAUGAACCGUUAUAACCGGCGAUUUCCGAAUGGGGAAACCCAGUGUGUUUCGACACACUAUCAUUAACUGAAUCCAUAGGUUAAUGAGGCGAACCGGGGGAACUGAAACAUCUAAGUACCCCGAGGAAAAGAAAUCAACCGAGAUUCCCCCAGUAGCGGCGAGCGAACGGGGAGGAGCCCAGAGCCUGAAUCAGUGUGUGUGUUAGUGGAAGCGUCUGGAAAGGCGCGCGAUACAGGGUGACAGCCCCGUACACAAAAAUGCACAUACUGUGAGCUCGAUGAGUAGGGCGGGACACGUGGUAUCCUGUCUGAAUAUGGGGGGACCAUCCUCCAAGGCUAAAUACUCCUGACUGACCGAUAGUGAACCAGUACCGUGAGGGAAAGGCGAAAAGAACCCCGGCGAGGGGAGUGAAAAAGAACCUGAAACCGUGUACGUACAAGCAGUGGGAGCCUCUUAAUGGGGUGACUGCGUACCUUUUGUAUAAUGGGUCAGCGACUUAUAUUCUGUAGCAAGGUUAACCGAAUAGGGGAGCCGAAGGGAAACCGAGUCUUAACUGGGCGUUAAGUUGCAGGGUAUAGACCCGAAACCCGGUGAUCUAGCCAUGGGCAGGUUGAAGGUUGGGUAACACUAACUGGAGGACCGAACCGACUAAUGUUGAAAAAUUAGCGGAUGACUUGUGGCUGGGGGUGAAAGGCCAAUCAAACCGGGAGAUAGCUGGUUCUCCCCGAAAGCUAUUUAGGUAGCGCCUCGUGAAUUCAUCUCCGGGGGUAGAGCACUGUUUCGGCAAGGGGGUCAUCCCGACUUACCAACCCGAUGCAAACUGCGAAUACCGGAGAAUGUUAUCACGGGAGACACACGGCGGGUGCUAACGUCCGUCGUGAAGAGGGAAACAACCCAGACCGCCAGCUAAGGUCCCAAAGUCAUGGUUAAGUGGGAAACGAUGUGGGAAGGCCCAGACAGCCAGGAUGUUGGCUUAGAAGCAGCCAUCAUUUAAAGAAAGCGUAAUAGCUCACUGGUCGAGUCGGCCUGCGCGGAAGAUGUAACGGGGCUAAACCAUGCACCGAAGCUGCGGCAGCGACACUAUGUGUUGUUGGGUAGGGGAGCGUUCUGUAAGCCUGUGAAGGUGUACUGUGAGGUAUGCUGGAGGUAUCAGAAGUGCGAAUGCUGACAUAAGUAACGAUAAAGCGGGUGAAAAGCCCGCUCGCCGGAAGACCAAGGGUUCCUGUCCAACGUUAAUCGGGGCAGGGUGAGUCGACCCCUAAGGCGAGGCCGAAAGGCGUAGUCGAUGGGAAACAGGUUAAUAUUCCUGUACUUGGUGUUACUGCGAAGGGGGGACGGAGAAGGCUAUGUUGGCCGGGCGACGGUUGUCCCGGUUUAAGCGUGUAGGCUGGUUUUCCAGGCAAAUCCGGAAAAUCAAGGCUGAGGCGUGAUGACGAGGCACUACGGUGCUGAAGCGACAAAUGCCCUGCUUCCAGGAAAAGCCUCUAAGCAUCAGGUAACAUCAAAUCGUACCCCAAACCGACACAGGUGGUCAGGUAGAGAAUACCAAGGCGCUUGAGAGAACUCGGGUGAAGGAACUAGGCAAAAUGGUGCCGUAACUUCGGGAGAAGGCACGCUGAUAUGUAGGUGAAGCGACUUGCUCGUGGAGCUGAAAUCAGUCGAAGAUACCAGCUGGCUGCAACUGUUUAUUAAAAACACAGCACUGUGCAAACACGAAAGUGGACGUAUACGGUGUGACGCCUGCCCGGUGCCGGAAGGUUAAUUGAUGGGGUUAGCGGUAACGCGAAGCUCUUGAUCGAAGCCCCGGUAAACGGCGGCCGUAACUAUAACGGUCCUAAGGUAGCGAAAUUCCUUGUCGGGUAAGUUCCGACCUGCACGAAUGGCGUAAUGAUGGCCAGGCUGUCUCCACCCGAGACUCAGUGAAAUUGAACUCGCUGUGAAGAUGCAGUGUACCCGCGGCAAGACGGAAAGACCCCGUGAACCUUUACUAUAGCUUGACACUGAACAUUGAGCCUUGAUGUGUAGGAUAGGUGGGAGGCUUUGAAGUGUGGACGCCAGUCUGCAUGGAGCCGACCUUGAAAUACCACCCUUUAAUGUUUGAUGUUCUAACGUGGGCCCCUUACCGGGGUUGCGGACAGUGUCUGGUGGGUAGUUUGACUGGGGCGGUCUCCUCCUAAAGAGUAACGGAGGAGCACGAAGGUUGGCUAAUCCUGGUCGGACAUCAGGAGGUUAGUGCAAUGGCAUAAGCCAGCUUGACUGCGAGCGUGACGGCGCGAGCAGGUGCGAAAGCAGGUCAUAGUGAUCCGGUGGUUCUGAAUGGAAGGGCCAUCGCUCAACGGAUAAAAGGUACUCCGGGGAUAACAGGCUGAUACCGCCCAAGAGUUCAUAUCGACGGCGGUGUUUGGCACCUCGAUGUCGGCUCAUCACAUCCUGGGGCUGAAGUAGGUCCCAAGGGUAUGGCUGUUCGCCAUUUAAAGUGGUACGCGAGCUGGGUUUAGAACGUCGUGAGACAGUUCGGUCCCUAUCUGCCGUGGGCGCUGGAGAACUGAGGGGGGCUGCUCCUAGUACGAGAGGACCGGAGUGGACGCAUCACUGGUGUUCGGGUUGUCAUGCCAAUGGCACUGCCCGGUAGCUAAAUGCGGAAGAGAUAAGUGCUGAAAGCAUCUAAGCACGAAACUUGCCCCGAGAUGAGUUCUCCCUGACUCCUUGAGAGUCCUGAAGGAACGUUGAAGACGACGACGUUGAUAGGCCGGGUGUGUAAGCGCAGCGAUGCGUUGAGCUAACCGGUACUAAUGAACCGUGAGGCUUAACC